rnacentral:rRNA from 1 species
UACGUAGGGUGCGAGCGUUGUCCGGAAUUAUUGGGCGUAAAGAGCUCGUAGGCGGUCUGUCGCGUCGGCUGUGAAAUCCCGAGGCUCAACCUGGAGACGCCACCCGAUACUGCUGUGGCUAGAGUCCAGUAGGGGAGUGUGGAAUUCCCGGUGUAGCGGUGAAAUGCGCAGAUAUCGGGAGGAACACCAGCGGCGAAGGCGGCACUCUGGGCUGGUACUGACGCUGAGGAGCGAAAGCGUGGGUAGCAAACAGG